rnacentral:rRNA from 1 species
AGUGAACGCUGGCGGCAGGCCUAACACAUGCAAGUCGAACGGCAGCACAGAGGAGCUUGCUCCUUGGGUGGCGAGUGGCGGACGGGUGAGGAAUACAUCGGAAUCUGCCUAUUUGUGGGGGAUAACGUAGGGAAACUUACGCUAAUACCGCAUACGACCUACGGGUGAAAGCGGAGGACCUUCGGGCUUCGCGCAGAUAGAUGAACCGAUGUCGGAUUAGCUAGUUGGCGGGGUAAAGGCCCACUAAGGCGACGAUCCGUAGCUGGUCUGAGAGGAUGAUCAGCCACACUGGAACUGAGACACGGUCCAGACUCCUACGGGAGGCAGCAGUGGGGAAUAUUGGACAAUGGGCGCAAGCCUGAUCCAGCCAUGCCGCGUGGGUGAAGAAGGCCUUCGGGUUGUAAAGCCCUUUUGUUGGGAAAGAAAAGCAGCCGGUUAAUACCCGGUUGUUCUGACGGUACUCAAAGAAUAAGCACCGGCUAACUUCGUGCCAGCCGCCGCAGUAA